UGAGGCAGGAGAAUUGCUUGAACCCAGGAGGUAGAGGCUGCAAUGAGCCGAGAUCAUGCCACUGCACUCCAGCCUGGGUGACAGAGCGAGACUCCAUCUC
rnacentral:miRNA from 1 species